ensembl:lincRNA Gm31373 predicted gene, 31373
AGAGAUGCUGUGGAUGUGUUGAAGGUGGGGCAGAUUCAGGUACAACAGGAGGACCACAUGCUGUCACUGUCGAUUUUCACUGGAGAGUCUGGACGCUCCAAGGUGGAUACCUGCCCUGUCCUGAUGGCCUGAGGAGAGGGACCUGGAAAGCAGUGUCUCUGAGGCAUGCUGCUCUGAAGACAACUCCACGUGACCACCUUUAAAGCACUCCCAACAGGCAGAUGGCGAGACUCAGCUCAAAGUCAUACCCUCGUAAGAGACAAACAGUUAUCCUAGGAUCUAAAACCAAAGCUUGGAAUCUACUCAAAAUGUCACAUGCUAUUCUCUCUUCUUCUGAAGACGUCAUCCAGUUGGGCCUGUCAAUCACCUGGCCAGGAACCCACCUGCUCCUCCCCACACUACCUACCUGCUCCUCUCCACACUACCUGCUCCUCCCCACACCAGGAAAGCUGAUUGACCUGAAGCCAUGCUAGGAGGAUGGGCAGAAUAACUAUCCCUUUAAUGAGUGUACUUUCUCUAGUCUUAAUUCAGGAAAUGUGACUCUUCGUUGUCUAUCUUUUUACAUCUCUGUCUUUUGGGUCCUGGCCCAAAGCCUGAGUGUGCUUUCCCCGACACUCUGGACUUUCUUGCUCUUUCUUUGAAGCCCUCCCUCCGCCUCCUCUACCUUUUCUAAUCUAUUUCUGUCCCAGCAGCUGCCAGGCCUUACAGCUUCCCAACCCUGUUGUUUGUCUCCUAAA